rnacentral:rRNA from 1 species
UAGCCUGAUAUUGAAAUUCGGCACAGCUUGUACAGGAUAGGUAGGAGCCUUUGAAACGUGAGCGCUAGCUUACGUGGAGGCGCUGGUGGGAUACUACCCUAGCUGUGUUGGCUUUCUAACCCGCACCACUUAUCGUGGUGGGAGACAGUGUCAGGCGGGCAGUUUGACUGGGGCGGUCGCCUCCUAAAAGGUAACGGAGGCGCUCAAAGGUUCCCUCAGAAUGGUUGGAAAUCAUUCAUAGAGUGUAAAGGCAUAAGGGAGCUUGACUGCGAGACCUACAAGUCGAGCAGGGUCGAAAGACG